rnacentral:rRNA from 1 species
UACGUAGGCAGCAAGCGUUGUUCGGAGUUACUGGGCGUAAAGAGUGUGUAGGCGGUUUGCCAAGUUCGGUGUAAAAUCUCCCGGCUCAACUGGGAGGGUGCGCCGAAAACUGGCAGGCUGGAGUGCGGGAGAGGAGAGCGGAAUUCCUGGUGUAGCGGUGAAAUGCGUAGAUAUCAGGAGGAACACCGGUGGUGUAGACGGCUCUCUGGACCGCAACUGACGCUGAGACACGAAAGCGUGGGGAGCAAACAGG